AUUGAACGCUGGCGGCAGGCCUAACACAUGCAAGUCGAGCGGAGCGGCUGACGGGUGAGUAAUGCCUAUGAAUCUGCCUGGUAGUGGGGGAUAACGUCCGGAACCGGGCGCUAAUCCCGCAUACUAUCAGAUGAGCCUAGGUCGGAUUAGCUAGUUGGUGGGGUAAAGGCCUACCAAGGCGACGAUCCGUAACUGGUCUGAGAGGAUGACAAGUCAAACUGGAAAUGAGACACGGUCCAGACUCCUACGGGAGGAAGCAGUGGGGAAUAUUGGACAAUGGGCGAAAGCAUGAUGCAGCCAGGCCGCGUGUGUGAAGAAGGUCUUAGGAUUGUAAAGCACUUUAAGUUGGGAGGCGUUACCAACAGAAUAAGCACCGGCUAACUUCGGGCCAGCCGCCGCGGUAAUAC
rnacentral:rRNA from 1 species